rnacentral:rRNA from 1 species
GAUGAACGCUGACGGCGUGCCUAAUACAUGCCAGUCGAGCGAACGGACGAGAAGCUUGCUUCUCUGAUGUUAGCGGCGGACGGGUGAGUAACACGUGGAUAACCUACCUAUAAGACUGGGAUAACUUCGGGAAACCGGAGCUAAUACCGGAUAAUAUUUUGAACCGCAUGGUUCAAAAGUGAAAGACGGUCUUGCUGUCACUUAUAGAUGGAUCCGCGCUGCAUUAGCUAGUUGGUAAGGUAACGGCUUACCAAGGCAACGAUGCAUAGCCGACCUGAGAGGGUGAUCGGCCACACUGGAACUGAGACACGGUCCAGACUCCUACGGGAGGCAGCAGUAGGGAAUCUUCCGCAAUGGGCGAAAGCCUGACGGAGCAACGCCGCGUGAGUGAUGAAGGUCUUCGGAUCGUAAAACUCUGUUAUUAGGGAAGAACAUAUGUGUAAGUAACUGUGCACAUCUUGACGGUACCUAAUCAGAAAGCCACGGCUAACUACGU